UGCAUUUAAUUUUUUUUAAUGGUAAAAAUUCAACUUAGGUGGUUUAAAUGACAUACAGCUGACUUCUUCCUUAUAUGCAACUCAUGCCACGACAGUAUGAAGGCAAAGAAUGAAUAUUUUAUCCCUCUGACAUGGCAAAGAGGGAACUAUUUGUGGCGUGCUAAUUAACGAGCUAACUAUUAGCUCGUUAGCAAUUUUGCUAAUGUCAACCACUAAGCUAACUAUGUAACCAGGUUAACGGAAGGUUUAAUGGAUAAAGUAGUAAAUGGGAGUUGAAACAGUUUGGGAGUUGAGACAACUAACUUAUUGCUCUAUCCCACAACAUCAUUGUGGCUAGCUACAGCACAAGCUAGACUCCCGAAUAAGGGAACAACAUAAUGUGCAUUCGACAUCAUGGAGCAGUGCAGCAGGCCAUAGUUAGCAGAUGCUACUCGCAAAUGUCUGACUCCUACAGUGUCAUAACUACUCUUGUGUUCUUAUGAUAGCUCUUGCUAAUUGAUAGUUACAAGAAAAAAUAUUUACAGCCAAAGUGGUACUGAGAGGGAGCAGAAUUUUGGCAACUAUAUAUUUUAUUAUUUUCUUGUUUUGUUUUUUUUAAUACUUGCUAGUUGUAUGGUAACUGCAGUGGCUCAUUGCAUAUUUACACAUGUACAGCAGAUAUUAACAUAUUGUUUCCUUUCAGACACAGAAUGUUGAUCCUGCCCUGUGCUUUACUUUGUCCUGGCUCCAGCAGUGCAUGCAGCUGAGUAGUGCACGCUAUACCAGUACUUAAGACACUGGCGCACAAUCACCAGUACGUUGACGAAUCCCUUCUCAUCCUUUGACCUUAUCAUACAAGAAGCUACACUCGCUCAGCGACACUUUGAGAAUCAUGCUACUAAAAACCUCUGCCUGAGUGACCUGCUGCCAGUCAUCUUUCAUCUUCCUCGAGCCCAGCCAUCUUCGCUCUACCCUACCUGAGUUUGCCGGCUAUACUCACCUGUCUCAGCUUAUCUUCAUUUCCUCCAUCUGCCCUGCAUUGCCACCUCCAGCUCCCCAUCUGUGGACCCCUCGAGCUCUGCCUCCUCUGGCGGAUAUUUCCAGCAUAUUGACUGUUAUCUCCAUAACUUGUUUUCUCAGUACAAUAAAGUUUGUGAUCAGUAUCGCACCUGUCAUCUGGGUCCAGCCUGUUUGCUCAGUCUCUCUCCCCACUCCUUCUGGCCUACUCCCUUCUGUCUCUGAGUCUAGUCUGCUAGUGUGCUGACACAGUGGCCAUGCGACAGUAAGUUCACAUGCUGUAUAUGAACGAAGACUUGGUAAAUGCGCACUUACUGAAAUCAUUAGUAAAUUAUUUUCAUGACACCUGCAAUUUUGACAUUAUUCAGACCACAGCUGGAAAUGCAGUG